rnacentral:rRNA from 1 species
GUAACUAUAACGGUCCUAAGGUAGCGAAAUUCCUUGUCGGGUAAGUUCCGACCCGCACGAAAGGCGUAACGAUUUGGGCACUGUCUCAACGAGAGACUCGGUGAAAUCAUAGUACCUGUGAAGAUGCAGGUUACCCGCGACAGGACGGAAAGACCCCGUGGAGCUUUACUGUAGCCUGAUAUUGAAAUUCGGCACAGCUUGUACAGGAUAGGUAGGAGCCUUUGAAACGUGAGCGCUAGCUUACGUGGAGGCGCUGGUGGGAUACUACCCUAGCUGUGUUGGCUUUCUAACCCGCACCACUUAUCGUGGUGGGAGACAGUGUCAGGCGGGCAGUUUGACUGGGGCGGUCGCCUCCUAAAAGGUAACGGAGGCGCUCAAAGGUUCCCUCAGAAUGGUUGGAAAUCAUUCAUAGAGUGUAAAGGCAUAAGGGAGCUUGACUGCGAGACCUACAAGUCGAGCAGGGUCGAAAGACGGACUUAGUGAUCCGGUGGUUCCGCAUGGAAGGGCCAUCGCUCAACGGAUAAAAGCUACCCCGGGGAUAACAGGCUUAUCUCCCCCAAGAGUUCACAUCGACGGGGAGGUUUGGCACCUCGAUGUCGGCUCAUCGCAUCCUGGGGCUGUAGUCGGUCCCAAGGGUUGGGCUGUUCGCCCAUUAAAGCGGUACGCGAGCUGGGUUCAGAACGUCGUGAGACAGUUCGGUCCCUAUCCGUCGUGGGCGUAGGAAAUUUGAGAGGAGCUGUCCUUAGUACGAGAGGACCGGGAUGGACAUACCUCUGGUGUACCAGUUGUCGUGCCAACGGCAUAGCUGGGUAGCUAUGUGUGGACGGGAUAAGUGCUGAAAGCAUCUAAGCAUGAAGCCCCCCUCAAGAUGAGAUUUCCCAACUUCGGUUAUAAGAUCCCUCAAAGAUGAUGAGGUUAAUAGGUUCGAGGUGGAAGCAUGGUGACAU